UUUCAAAUUGACUACCAAUGCACCAAAAAAAGAUGAAAUCUGUGAAAGUAUUCGAAAACGUAAUGGUACUAAAUUGAACAUAUUGGCCGUUGGUAGAACACCAACACGAAUGUUAUUGAUAACGAUGGAUUUCUAUGUUUAUGAUGUGCCUAUUGAUUCAAUUGAUUCGGCAAUUAAUAAAUUAUAUUUACGUACUAAACCGAUUCCAAUGUCGGAAAAAUAUCCAGUUCUUUUCAAUGAUCAAAGAUUUCAACAAAUUAAGAAUGUAAUAUUCAAUUCAUUCAUAAUGACCGAUGCUGAUAGUGAAUGGAUUUGUAUAACUACUCGACGUUCUGAGACGGAUUAUCAUGGAAUUAAUUAUAACAUCCUACAUCCUUUUGUUUUUCAAGGAUGGGUAUUUAACUUUCAAUGGAAAGAAGUAUUGAUUUCAAGAAUUGAAAUAUGUUUAUUCUAUGGUUUACGCCAUAAUAAUCAAGGGAAUCUUGAAAUGGCUAGUUACAAAUGUUAUCAUAGUAAUCAUAUACGGAGUGGAAAUUCAAUAGGUUUGGCAAAAGGUUACCGUUCUAUUUGCUUCGACAGUACUGGCCAAAAGAUUUCCAUCGAAAACGAUGGAUGUCAAUCAGGAAAUCCAGUACGGUGGCCAGUAUUGAAAGGUUUUACAGAUGGUGGAAAAUUUUAUUUAUUCGGCGAAUAUUACAUCUACAUAUUUGAUGAAAAUAUCUUCAACGAAGAAGGUUCAGCUUAUCCAGUGAAGAAACGUAAUUAUGAUUCUUUUUUCAAUUGUGGUGGUUACAUUCCUUCUGGUCAAGUUUCACGUUCACUUUUCGUUUGGAUCGUUGUGAUAAUCAUCGUAUUAUUAAUGAUUUUGAUGAUGAUUUUAAUGUGCAUACUGACGGUUCAUCGUAAACGAAUUCAUCGAUCAUCGAUCAUACAUGUAAAAACUACUCGUUCUGGUUUUGAAAGUAGUAUUGUUAAUGGUGGACGACCAUCAAACAAUCGUUCCAUGAUGUUGUCAAAAAUAGCUUCUAUGAAAAGUGGCCAUAGUAUGAAAAAAUUAUCUUCAAAUUCCAAAAAUAUCACUAGCAAUAAACCUGGUUCGAUUUCCAGUAGAACAAUUGGUGGUAGCCGAAAAGUAAUUUCAUGUGGAUCAACACCUGCUACCGUUCGUACAGGUGUCGAUCGUGGUGCAAACAGUGGUGUCAAUAAUACCAAUUCUAAUAAUAAUCGAUUCAAAUGUUUAACAACAACUAGAAAUCAAAGUAGUCGAUUUAGAUGAUAUAAGAUCAUCAGCUGAUCAUCGAAUUUCACAAAAAUCAAAAUCAAUCAAUUUUGAUCAUCAAUUAUGACAAAAAUUAACCAAAUAAUAAAUAAACUUAUCUAUGAAUAAUAAUGAUCGAAAUCAAUUCACAAUCAACAAUUUAUUCGAUUCCAUUAUUCACAAUUCUACAAUAAUUUGAUUAUUUCAAUUUCUUGAGAGCAAGAAUUCAAUUGAAAACAUUAAAAAUAUGGAAAAUUGGUCAAGCUUCCAUGAGUUCAAGUUUUAUUUUUUAAAUUUUGUUGGCUAGUUACCAGAACCACCUGAAUGCAAAUGCUACUGUCACAUUGGACAUUCGAUAUUUCAUUGUCGACAUUUAUGGUUAGUGUUUGUAUAAUUCUGAUGAUGAUGACAAAUGAAACACAAACAGAUGAUGAUAAUAAAAUGACAACAACGGCACAGCCAAAAGAUGAAACUUGUGAAACUCUGCAUAACCAUAAUGGCGCUAAAUUGAACAUAUUGGCCGUUGGUAGAACAC